rnacentral:sRNA from 1 species
UCGUCCGGCUCCGCCGGGCGCUUCUUCCCAUGAAACCGCCGCGGGCAACCGCGGCGGUUUUUCUUUGGCCAGA